rnacentral:rRNA from 3 species
UUAAGUGCAUGUGGUGGAUGCCUUGGCAGUCAGAGGCGAUGAAAGACGUGAUAGCCUGCGAAAAGCUCCGGGGAGGCGGCAAAUAUCCUUUGAUCCGGAGAUGUCUGAAUGGGGGAACCCACCUACUUUAAGGUAGGUAUUGCAACAUGAAUACAUAGUGUUGCAAGGCGAACGAGGGGAAGUGAAACAUCUCAGUACCCUUAGGAAAAGAAAUCAAUUGAGAUUCCCUCAGUAGCGGCGAGCGAACGGGGAUCAGCCCAUUAAGUUAUGUGUGUUUUAGUGGAACGCUCUGGGAAGUGCGAACGUAGAGGGUGAUAUUCCCGUACACGAAAGGGCACACAUAAUGAUGACGAGUAGGGCGAGGCACGUGAAACCUUGUCUGAAUAUGGGGGGACCAUCCUCCAAGGCUAAAUACUCCUGACUGACCGAUAGUGAACCAGUACCGUGAGGGAAAGGCGAAAAGAACCCCUGUGAGGGGAGUGAAAUAGAUCCUGAAACCGCAUGCAUACAAGCAGUGGGAGCACCUUCGUGGUGUGACUGCGUACCUUUUGUAUAAUGGGUCAGCGACUUAUAUUCAGUAGCAAGGUUAACCGUAUAGGGGAGCCGUAGAGAAAUCGAGUCUUAAUAGGGCGUUUAGUUGCUGGGUAUAGACCCGAAACCAGGCGAUCUAUCCAUGAGCAGGUUGAAGGUUGGGUAACACUAACUGGAGGACCGAACCCACUGUCGUUGAAAAGCCAGGGGAUGACUUGUGGAUAGGGGUGAAAGGCUAAUCAAGCCUGGUGAUAGCUGGUUCUCCCCGAAAGCUAUUUAGGUAGCGCCUCGGACGAAUACCAUAGGGGGUAGAGCACUGUUUCGGCUAGGGGGUCAUCCCGACUUACCAAACCGAUGCAAACUCCGAAUACCUAUGAGUACUAUCCGGGAGACAGACUGCGGGUGCUAACGUCCGUAGUCAAGAGGAAAACAAUCCAGACCGCCAGCUAAGGCCCCAAAAUCAUAGUUAAGUGGGAAACGAUGUGGGAAGGCAUAGACAGCUAGGAGGUUGGCUUAGAAGCAGCCACCCUUUAAAGAAAGCGUAAUAGCUCACUAGUCGAGUCGGCCUGCGCGGAAGAUGUAACGGGGCUAAAACUAUGUGCCGAAGCUGCGGAUGUAUACUUUGUAUACGUGGUAGGGGAGCGUUCUGUAAGCCGAUGAAGGUGUGUUGAGAAGCAUGCUGGAGGUAUCAGAAGUGCGAAUGCUGACGUGAGUAACGACAAAACGGGUGAAAAACCCGUUCGCCGAAAGACCAAGGGUUCCAGUCCAACGUUAAUCGGGGCUGGGUGAGUCGACCCCUAAGGCGAGGCCGAAAGGCGUAGUCGAUGGGAAAAUGGUUAAUAUUCCAUUACUUCUGUGUAAUGCGAUGAGAGGACGGAGAAGGCUAAAUCAGCCUGGCGUUGGUUGUCCAGGUGAAAGGAUGUAGGCAUGUAUCUUAGGCAAAUCCGGGGUACUCUAUGCUGAGAUCUGAUAGCAAGCUGUACUUGUACAGCGAAGUGGUUGAUGCCAUGCUUCCAGGAAAAGUCUCUAAGCUUCAGUUACACAGGAAUCGUACCCGAAACCGACACAGGUGGUCAGGUCGAGUAGACCAAGGCGCUUGAGAGAACUCUGCUGAAGGAACUAGGCAAAAUGGUACCGUAACUUCGGGAGAAGGUACGCUGUUGUUGGUGAUGGAACUCGCUUCCUGAGCUGACGACAGCCGCAGAAACCAGGCCGCUGCAACUGUUUAUUAAAAACAUAGCACUCUGCAAACACGAAAGUGGACGUAUAGGGUGUGAUGCCUGCCCGGUGCUGGAAGGUUAAUUGAUGGGGUUAGCGUAAGCGAAGCUCUUGAUCGAAGCCCCAGUAAACGGCGGCCGUAACUAUAACGGUCCUAAGGUAGCGAAAUUCCUUGUCGGGUAAGUUCCGACCUGCACGAAUGGCAUAAUGAUGGCGGCGCUGUCUCCAGCAGAGGCUCAGUGAAAUCGAAAUCGCUGUGAAGAUGCAGUGUACCCGCGGCUAGACGGAAAGACCCCGUGAACCUUUACUGCAGCUUGACACUGAACUUUGACCUUACUUGUGUAGGAUAGGUGGGAGGCUUUGAAGCUGGAACGCUAGUUCCAGUGGAGCCGUCCUUGAAAUACCACCCUGGUAAUGUUGAGGUUCUAACUCUGUCCCGUGAUCCGGGACGAGGACCGUGUCUGGUGGGUAGUUUGACUGGGGCGGUCUCCUCCUAAAGAGUAACGGAGGAGUACGAAGGUGCGCUCAGCGUGGUCGGAAAUCACGCGUAGAGUAUAAAGGCAAAAGCGCGCUUAACUGCGAGACCCACAAGUCGAGCAGGUACGAAAGUAGGUCUUAGUGAUCCGGUGGUUCUGUAUGGAAGGGCCAUCGCUCAACGGAUAAAAGGUACUCUGGGGAUAACAGGCUGAUACCGCCCAAGAGUUCAUAUCGACGGCGGUGUUUGGCACCUCGAUGUCGGCUCAUCUCAUCCUGGGGCUGAAGCAGGUCCCAAGGGUAUGGCUGUUCGCCAUUUAAAGAGGUACGCGAGCUGGGUUUAGAACGUCGUGAGACAGUUCGGUCCCUAUCUACCGUGGGCGCUGGAAAUUUGAGAGGAUCUGCUCCUAGUACGAGAGGACCAGAGUGGACGAACCUCUGGUGUACCGGUUGUGACGCCAGUCGCAUCGCCGGGUAGCUAUGUUCGGAAGGGAUAACCGCUGAAAGCAUCUAAGCGGGAAGCCUACCUCAAGAUAAGAUUUCCCUAGGACUUUAUGUCCUCUAAAGAGCCGUUCGAGACUAGGACGUUGAUAGGUUGGAUGUGGAAGCAUAGUGAUAUGUGAAGCUGACCAAUACUAAUUGCUCGUGAGGCUUGACU